GCCGGGCGUGGUGGCGCGUGCCUGUAGUCCCAGCUACUCGGGAGGCUGAGGUGGGAGGAUCGCUUGAGUCCAGGAGUUCUGGGCUGCAGUGCGCUAUGCCGAUCGGGUGUCCGCACUAAGUUCCGCAUCAAUAUGGUGACCUCCCGGGAGCAGGGGACCACCAGGUUGCCUAAGGAGGGGUGAACCGGCCCAGGUCGGAAACGGAGCAGGUCAAAACUCCCGUGCUGAUCAGUAGUGGGAUCGCGCCUGUGAAUAGCCACUGCACUCCAGCCUGGGCAAUAUAGUGAGACCCUGUCUCU
rnacentral:SRP_RNA from 1 species